UCUGUCACUAUGUCAAGUUACUCUCAUAAAGGAUUAAGGCAAGAUACGGAUAAGUAGGCUUUGUAGGCCAUGAUUUGUGGUAGCCUAAUAACAUUUAUAUAUAACAAUGUAUAUAUAUAUACUGUGUAUAUACUGUAUAUAUAUGUAUGUGUGUAUGUAUGUAUGUGUAGUUAUUUGCAUAGGGAUAUAGUUAUAUGUAUAGUUAUUUGUAUAGGGAUAAAAUGUGUAUUCAUUUGUAUAGGGAUCAAAUGCAUGUGGUAGGAUAAGAUACACACACAAACACACACACACCACACACACAUACACACACACACACACACACACACACACAAACACGCACACAUAUAUAUAUAACUAUAAAGGCUGCAUAACUAUCAUUAGCAUAUCAUAAUGUUAAAUAAUAAAAAAAAAGUAAUAAUAAAAAACCUACAGUACUCCAUUGCAUCUGCUGUUUUGUGGCAGAUGAAACUCAGAAUUUGCAUUUCUGGGAUAGUCUAUUGUGUGCAUCCCCCCCCCCCCCCCAAAAAAAAAAAAAAAAAAAAAAAAUGAAUAAACAGAAUAGCUUCGACUGAGGUCGACAGCUUUGAAGGGUUUUCAUAAUUCGAAUGUUUUAAGUGGACGGAUUGUAUACGCCCACCCGGCCUCACACACAGACAGACACACACACACACAGACCACCCCACCCUUUUUUUCCUUCACGGAUUCUUACACAAGUGCCUGUUCGGCUUUUAGCCGCGAGCAGGAACGCUGCACCAACUGGCUUCGUUCUACGCCAAUCACAAUGGCAAACUGGUGAUCUACCAAUACAUUUGCAGCCAAUGCAUGUGCUGCUUGCGGGCCAUGUGAUGUUGGCCCAUCCUCCCUGUCUCUCACCGUCGGCAUAAUACACUUUAAUCGCCUGAACUACUGCGGAGCGAGUGGGAUGUCAUUAAGUAGACUAUCGUAGUGGUAGAGUUUGAAGAAUCAUUCGGGUGGAGGCUGCAGUUGAGACAUGCACUGAUGUUACUGGAUUGUCCCUCUUGUAACUCUAACAUCAACCCUUACAUCAACGAAGACAAUUGGUCGUGUUUGGCGUCGUAUUGAUGAAGAGGCACACAAAGAAAGGAGAAGCUAUGUGGCUACUGGUUGCAGUCAUCCGCGAGUGUCAGAAACUCCCUAUCACUUCAGAGGCUGAAAAAUGCUUUAGAGCAAAGGUUCCGGUGCUCUCCAGAGACAGACAGGGAGGAGGACGAGGAGGAUGAGGGUCACAAGAACACGAUUUGGCUUUUGGAGUGAAUAUCAAGAGGAACAACUGGGUCGUCUUUACCACUAAACAGGUCAUGAGGCAGCAUUGACCUUUCUUUUUUAAAACAUAAUUUCCCCUUCAAACCCACAGUUCUGGUUCAAGCAAAAGUUGUGCAAUUUGUGGUGGUGAGAUGGUGUAGCAGAGGCUCAGGAAAUGCUGAUCUGCACAUAUUGGGGGGGACUUUAAUUUGUAGGCAUACUGAUUUUUUUAUUAUAAAUUACAUUUGUAUGCAAUCAGAAACAUGGCAGAUUAUCGCAGGUUACUAUUACAAGGGGUAGCAGGUACACGGUAGAAGUUUACAUAGAAGGUAAAGCUAGCACAGAGUAUGGGGUAGAAUAAGUGCAUGACGCUGGGGGUGGGUAGGUCGAGGGUUUCUGAAAGUAGAUCAGGUGGAGAAACUACAGCAGCAUCCCACAGCGAAGAGAGUCAAGGAUAGAAGGGGAAGAAAGAGACAAAUUGAGAGGGUAGAGUUCGGCUGCCAAAAUCUGCUAAAAUAUCUUGCAUAUAGGUACAUGUUGAAACCAUAUAAGUGUAACUGUAUCACAGACUGUGUGACACUACAGACUAUGCCUCAUGAGUAAUGGGAUAUGCUUACUAUGGCAAGUCACUGUAUAAUGUAUAUCUUACAUGUACUUUACUGUAUAUACUCUACUAUACUAUACCGUACUAUACUAUGAUAUACUUUUUUGACUGACUUGAUUGAUUGAUUGAUUUAUUGAUUUAUUGAUUUAUUGAUUGAUUGGUUGGUUGAUGGAUGGAUGGAUGGAUUCACUUCGGACCUGAUUGAUUGGCAGCAUCUGACAAAAAAAGAGUAUGAAUUUAUAACAGGUCCCAUUCCCAGUCUGAGGCAGGUGUAAGCCUAGUUAUGGUACUUACCAUCUUUACCAUCUGUAUGCACUACAUUGUUUCUGAACUAAACUGCUUUCAGAGGAAUAUGACUUAUUAUAUGGGAGCAUUUGUUCAUGUAUUGAUUGUGUCAGGAGCCUCUUAAUAUUUCUGAUCAGAAUGGUAACAGACAUCUCACAUUAUGUUUACUUCAUGUGGAAAAAAUUGCGGACUCUACAGACUAUAAUUAUGUGACUGUUUCUAAAUUAUUUGUUGAUAUAUACAAAAAUAUCAACAGUGACAGUGAUAUAUAGUUAUCAUAGUUACUAUAAGAUAGUUUAGCUAGCUUAAAAUUAGUACAGCAUAUUGAUUAUAAGACAUUACUAAUAAACCAGGCUUCUAUUAUUGUUCUGGGUAAUUCAAGGGGUAUAACUGUCCAGCUCAUUCAUACUGAUAGGCAGGCGGUUGGGGAAUCUGUCUCUUCAAAUGAUAAUUGCUGUGCUUUUAUUUUCUAAAACAAUUAUGUUUAAACCCCCUCUUGGAGAUCACCCCAUAAACAUAAUAUCAUCUGAUACAUAUGAAAAUGUAAUUAAACAAAAAUCAACAUACUUUAGAUGUAUAAGACACCACACCAAGUCCCAUACUUUAGAUGUAUAAGACACCACACCAAGUCCCAUAUUUUAGAUAUAUACGAUACCACAAAAUGUGUAUUUUGUUAUGGCUCGUUAUCUCUUCAGCAGUAUGUGAAUACCUGUCAAUCACCUUUGAGGGCACACACAGACUGGAAUUUACAAGUCAGUGCUGUGGUUGCUGCGGUCACAUUUCCCCUUGGAAACCUACGCCGAGGACUUUCCCCUCAGCGAGUACAUAUACACCAGCAUCACAGCAUGUCCAGCAUCACCUAUCAGCCUUCCCAUCUUGAAGAACACUUACGCAUCAGGAUCUGAGGACUCCAUCUGCAGCCUGAAGACAUGGCAAAGAUUACAGUCUCUCUCUGCGCACUGCUGGGGCUUCUGCUGGUCUUAGCUUCCGAGGGGGAAACCAAACUAGGUACACAAAGCAGGGCAUGCUGCGCACAAUUCAUCAAGGUUCCACUGCCUUUGGAGAGAAUCCGUGGUUUCAUCGAGGAACGCCAAGGGAUAUGUCG